rnacentral:rRNA from 1 species
AUUGAACGCUGGCGGAAUGCUUUACACAUGCAAGUCGAACGGCAGCACGUGGGCAGCCCUGGUGGCGAGUGGCGAACGGGUGAGUAAUACAUCGGAACGUGCCCGCUCGUGGGGGAUAACGUAGCUAAAGUUACGCUAAUACCGCAUACGAUCUGAGGAUGAACGCGGGGGACCUUCCGCCCUCGCGCGAUUGGAUCGUCCGAUGUCAGAUUAGGUAGUUGGUGGGGUAAAGGCCUACCAAGCCGACGAUCUGUAGCUGGUCUGAGAGGACGACCAGCCACACUGGGACUGAGACACGGCCCAGACUCCUACGGGAGGCAGCAGUGGGGAAUUUUGGACAAUGGGCGCAAGCCUGAUCCAGCCAUGCCGCGUGCAGGACGAAGGCAUUCGGGUUGUAAACUGCUUUUGUAAGGAACGAAAAGGCUCUGGCUAAUACCUGGGGCUCAUGACGGUACCGGAAGAAUAAGCACCGGCUAACUACGUG